rnacentral:rRNA from 1 species
AACGCGAAGAACCUUACCCAGACUUGACAUGCACUGGACAGUAUCAGAAAUGAUACCUCCCUUCGGGGCCGGUGCACAGGUGCUGCAUGGCUGUCGUCAGCUCGUGCCGUGAGGUGUUUGGUUAAGUCCAGCAACGAGCGCAACCCUUAUCCCUAGUUGCCAUCGGGUCAAGCCGGGCACUCUAGUGAAACUGCCUCGGAUAACGAGGAGGAAGGUGGGGAUGACGUCAAGUCCUCAUGGCCUUUAUGUCCAGGGCUACACACGUGUUACAAUGCGCGGCACAGACUGUUGCGAACCCGCGAGGGGGAGCUAAUCGGAAAAAACCGCGCUCAGUUCGGAUUGCAGUCUGCAACUCGACUGCAUGAAGCUGGAAUCGCUAGUAAUGGCGUAUCAGAUCGACGCCGUGAAUACGUUCCCGGGCCUUGUACACACCGACGCGUA